UUGCGGAAGAAACCAGACUUUU
rnacentral:miRNA from 1 species